rnacentral:tmRNA from 1 species
GGGGUCGUUACGGAUUCGACAGGCACUAUGAGAUACAUUCUGCGACUCAUCGGCAGAUGUAAAAAUGCCAGUUAAAUAUAACUGACAAAAAAUACAAAUUCUUACGCUGUAGCUGCCUAAAAACCAGCUCGCGUGAUCUCUACAGGAUUGCUUGUGUUUUGCUAGAGGUUUCAUUGAUUAGCAAGCUACGUUUGAUUAUUGCCUAGCUAGUCAAAAAGAGAUUUAUAGGCUCGCUUAAUCUAGGUUUGAGUUAUGUAUCGAGCUUAAGUUAAAUCAAAGACAUAACCUAUGGUUGUAGACGAAUGUAUUGGCAGGUGUUUGGACGUGGGUUCGACUCCCACCGGCUCCACCA